CAUUUCAAAAACUCACUAACAGUCUUUAGUUUCUCAGUCGACGAAAAGAUCCUCUUUAGCACCUUUUAAAGAAUAGAACAGAUUUCAGUGUUUCUAAGAAGAAGAAGAUUGUUUGCCACAGUUAUCAGUCAAUUAUCAGUCAGUUAUCACAAUUAUGAUUGUGUGUGUGAAAAGUGAGUCACGAUCACUUACUGUACAACUAGCACACCUCGUUUCACCACUAUCACUCUCAUACAUACCCCUAACCUAACCCUAACCCUAACCCUGAACUCAGGGCGCCAUCCAAAUGUAUCUAGUUAUCAGAGUCCCGGUAAAACUAGUGUCCUCAUAGACCAGGCUUGUGUCAAUCUAACAACACACUGAGAUUCUUCAGUCAAGACAAACAUGAAGAACAUGUUCUCAUGAUGUCCUCAUAAAACACGUGUCCUCAUAAAACAGGUGUAAAGCUACACACAACCUGACAUACUGUGAUGAACACACACAUAAUGUAAUGCAUAUAUAAAGCCAUGAACAUUACCAUGGGUUUUUAAAUAUUGAAAUAUUGAUUUGAAAUGGAUCUAUUUUGUGAUCUUGUAUAUGAUCUCAAAUCAAUAUUUCAUGUGCACAUAUUUAUUGAUCAGUAGCUGUGAAUGGGGGACACUGAUCAUCCUGUCCAUGUUUAAUUUGCAUUAAUUACUGUCUGACUGUACAUUAUCCCUUUGAUAUAUUUCAUAUAUACUGAAGGUUUGUAACUCUUAGGUGAAGUGAUUGUAUAUAAAGCUUUAUUUCUUAUUUUCAGAUAAGCCGUGAGACCCAGCUGUCAUCAGUGAUGAUUGUGCUGCUCUUACUGUGGGCCUACACCAGACUCUCAGUGAGGUUGGACCCUCUGCUCUCAAAAUGAACACUCUGUCCCAGUCAGAAGUCAGAGAUGUACAGAAGGUGAGCCCUGAGAAGGACCAGUUAUCAAUGGACCAUCAAGACGGUGUUAGACGGAGAAGAUGAGAUCAGUAUGAUGGAUCCUGAUGCCAUUGAUCCUGAUGAAAGUGUUUCUCAGGAUGUUGUUCCUGCUGGAGCUGCGCAGGCGUCUCCAGUAAUGCUGAUGUUCAGAAGAUGCCCAUUUGGAAAACUGCUGAGUUUGUCAAGGUACCUGAGGUUUAAAUUAGAGUACGACCAUCAUUGUAAGUACAUGAGCUUUCAAAAAGUGGGAGCUUAAUAAAGUAUGUAUUCAUCUGUACAGAGAAUGAGAGUUCGGCAGAAAUUAAAAAACGGAAAGGAAAAGGACAAUACGGAAAGGACAAAAGGUUUGCUGGUCAGAUGCUGAAGUUACAGCUGUAAUUGAUCAUUUUAAGGCACAUAUAACCAAAGGAAAAUUGUGGACAAAACACAAGAGAUUUUGUAAGAAAUCAAGGAAUUAGCUUGAAAAGAAAAGCACAAAAUAAGUGAUGUUACAUUGUGUCUCAUUUGAUGCUGUUCUGUAAGGAUUAUUAUUUUAGUUGUUGGUUAUGUUAGUUUCAUUCUAGAGCAUGAAUAUACUAAGACUUCACUCUGUAAAUCUCUAAAGUUUAACUGUUCUUUAAAGCAGUAGUUUGUCACAAAAACAUGACAACUUAAUAUUCAACAUUAUUAUUGAUCUGACUGCAUUGACACUAUUGUAUGAGAACUGAACUGAGCUGGACGAUGACAUCACUGUUGUCUCCAGAGCUGCUGCUGCUGUAUAGAUGAAGUGAACUAAAUUAAUAACUGAUGAGUUUUACAACAUAAUUGAAUCAACACUGAACUGACUCGGGCUGAACAAUGACACGAUACUCUUCUAGAGCUGCUGUACAGCCCAAACAAUCUUUGUUGAACAAUGUUCCUGUUAUGAGGGCUGCUUUGAAACAAUAUGUAGUUUAAAAAGCGCUUUAUAAAUAAAGGUGACUUGACUCAA